rnacentral:rRNA from 1 species
UCGGGAAUUUUGGGCAAUGGGCGCAAGCCUGAUCCAGCCAUGCCGCGUGAGUGACGAAGGUCUUCGGAUUGUAAAACUCUUUUGGCGGGGACGAUAAUGACGGUACCCGCAGAAUAAGCCCCGGCUAACUUCGUGCCAGCAGCCGCGGUAAUACGAAGGGGGCUAGCGUUGUUCGGAAUCACUGGGCGUAAAGCGCACGUAGGCGGAUGUGCCAGUCAGGGGUGAAAUCCCGGAGCUCAACUCCGGAACUGCCUCUGAUACAGCACGUCUUGAGUUCGAGAGAGGUGGGUGGAAUUCCUAGUGUAGAGGUGAAAUUCGUAGAUAUUAGGAAGAACACCGGUGGCGAAGGCGGCCCACUGGCUCGAUACUGACGCUGAGGUGCGAAAGCGUGGGGAGCAAACAGGAUUAGAUACCCUCGUAGUCCCUGAGCGGGCUGGCAAGGCGCAU